rnacentral:RNase_P_RNA from 1 species
ACGGAAAAGCGGGCACUUGCUCAAUUUAUUGAGAGGAAAGUCCGGACUCCGCAUGGCACCACAGAGGGUAACGCCCUCCCAUCGUAAGGUGAGGAACAGUGGAACAGAGAGAAUGUACGGGCAUUGAUCCAAGAUUCGGGAACGGGAGAACUUGGGGAGUCGCAGUAGUGAAAGCAGCCAAACUCUGUGGGGAGCAAGAUCAAAUAGGGGAGCGCUUGAGUGCAGCCAGCACAAAGCUUCCGGGUAAGAUCGCUUGAGGUGUGAAGUGAUUCACAUCCCAGAGGAAUGAGUGCCACCGUUAAGGUACAGAAUCCGGCUUACAGUUUUUCCUAGUUU